AACUCCUCCAACACGUACACACUUGAUUUGAAGACCACGAACCUGAAGGAAGAAAAAUGAGGGACCAUUCAGGAAGAACAUGAAUACUGUCAAAUCACCAAUCAUCCAAAUAGCCUCGACUGAAUGGUGAACUCAAAAAGAGAUACCAUCUUAAGGGAGAAUUUCGAAAAUCCCACUUCUGAAAAUCCGAGGAAUCUCACGACCCUAAGAUAGAUGGUGAGCAAAAAGCAAACUACAUCAACGAGGAAAACAAUCAAAUCUAAAGGAAAGAAAGAAGAAAAACAAAUGAAGAAUGAAAAAGAAGUGAAACGUUGUGUCGCCGUCGGUCAUCCGUGAAACGCCGCCACCAACGUAACCUCAAAAGCCAACCUCCACUUUCCUACAAGCCGAGCAAAGUCGAGUUGUACCUAAGCUGCGAAUCCAAGCUGAACGUAGCGAGUCGCGAGCUGCAAGCUGAGCUGAACCGAGCCGAACCGAGUCGCGAGUCGAGCUGCCUCCCGAGCCAAGCUAUUUUUCCAAGCCAAUCUCCCUGUUUACCGAGCCGCGUAUGUCGUUUCUAUCCAUGCUGAGUCCCGGUGUUAGAGAUGUGACGCUCCAGUUUUGGGGUUUUAAGGCAAGUGUAGUUGGAGCCAACUCUCAUUUACUUGGGUGGAUUCGUUUAGACAUUGAAUCGAACAAGGAUUGUAGCUAGACUUCAGGCAAAGGUAACGCGAAGGGCAGACGUGCGAGAGGCAAGAAGGAUACAUGAAGGCCAUAUGGACAUGUCUAGUUUUUUUAUGCUUCUGCUGAACGUAUUUAUUGUUUCUGUUUCUUUUUACUUAUUAAAUGGAGUCAUGGUUAGAACAAUUGUUUUCCUGUCUUGUUUUGAUGACUUCAUGGAUUAUGUGUUGGAACUUUUGGAAAGUUAUUUAAAAUA